UACGGGGGGGGUAAGCGUUGUUCGGAAUUACUGGGCGUAAAGGGCUCGUAGGCGGCCGACUAAGUCAUACGUGAAAUCCCUCAGCUUAACUGGGGAACUGCGUGUGAUACUGGAUGGCUUGGAUUUGGGAGAGGGAUGCGGAAUUCCAGGUGUAGCGGUGAAAUGCGUAGAUAUCUGGAGGAACACCGGUGGCGAAGGCGGCAUCCUGGACCAAUAUUGACGCUGAGGAGCGAAAGCUAGGGGAGCAAACGGG
rnacentral:rRNA from 1 species